UACGUAGGGUGCGAGCGUUAAUCGGAAUACUGGGCGUAAAGCGUGCGCAGGCGGUUGUGCAAGACAGAUGUGAAAUCCCCGGGCUUAACCUGGGAACUGCAUUUGUGACUGCACGGCUAGAGUGUGUCAGAGGGGGGUAGAAUUCCACGUGUAGCAGUGAAAUGCGUAGAUAUGUGGAGGAAUACCGAUGGCGAAGGCAGCCCCCUGGGAUAACACUGACGC
rnacentral:rRNA from 1 species